GUUCGCCAUUUUCAAAAUCCUGUUUCUUCCGGGUACACCUGUCAAGAGAAUUGACGUUGUACGCAUGUCUCUGUGUGACGCCAUGUCUCGGAGAAUUGUGAUGAUGAGAACCUGAAAGAAAACACUGCUGUGUGUGACUCCAGGUGGCUGGAGUUGGACUCAAGACCAGACCCUCCAAGAUCUGGACCCAGAUCAUGACCAACAAGGUCAAAGCCAAAGAUCCGUUUGUUCCUUUUGGUGAAAUACUGAAGAUGUAUUCUACUCACACAACCAUUUUCACCCUCUAGUGACAGAUAAAAUACUGCAGACAAUGACGAAAUGUGCAUUACGGUGUGGUUGAAGUGAAACAAACCUGUGAUCUUUUGUCGAAGUAGGAUAAAAGAAUCUAUAGCCAUUUUGUUAUUUUUUUGGACAACUGGAACGCCCAUGUCAUAAUAUUUAUUGAUGUUAUGAGAAAAAUGUGUGAUCCCUGUGUGCAUGGUGAUAUGUCAUUGGGUGUGGUGUGGAAGACCUGUGAGGAAAAUGAUCCUUUCCUAUCAUAUUGUGAAUGUACUUUACCAUAAUUAUCAAUAACAAACGACUGAGGCCAGACAAAUCUGCAAUUAAGGGGCUUUAAAAUGACUAUUUGGGCAUCUUUAAAAGCUAUUUUUAACUAUUCAGAGUAUGUCGAAUGAAUUACAUACCAUAUAACCUUUGAACCCUACCCACAAUUCUGUAUGACUUUCCACUUUAUAUGUCAUUGUCUUUUAUUAAAUGUCUGUGUUUUGUAACAAUAUCCUUUAACAGGAACUGUUCUGUCAG